ensembl:rRNA 5S_rRNA 5S ribosomal RNA
GUCUACGGCCAUGCCACUCUGAACAAGCCCGAUCAUGUCUAAUCUCGGAAGCUAAGCAGGGUUAGGCCUCGUUAGUACUUGGGUGGGAGUCCACCUAGGAAGACCAGGUGCUAUAGGUG